rnacentral:rRNA from 1 species
CCUUGAAAUACCACCCUUUAAUGUUUGAUGUUCUAACGUUGGCCCCUGAUCGGGGUUGCGGACAGUGUCUGGUGGGUAGUUUGACUGGGGCGGUCUCCUCCUAAAGAGUAACGGAGGAGCACGAAGGUUGGCUAAUCCUGGUCGGACAUCAGGAGGUUAGUGCAAUGGCAUAAGCCAGCUUGACUGCGAGCGUGACGGCGCGAGCAGGUGCGAAAGCAGGUCAUAGUGAUCCGGUGGUUCUGAAUGGAAGGGCCAUCGCUCAACGGAUAAAAGGUACUCCGGGGAUAACAGGCUGAUACCGCCCAAGAGUUCAUAUCGACGGCGGUGUUUGGCACCUCGAUGUCGGCUCAUCACAUCCUGGGGCUGAAGUAGGUCCCAAGGGUAUGGCUGUUCGCCAUUUAAAGUGGUACGCGAGCUGGGUUUAGAACGUCGUGAGACAGUUCGGUCCCUAUCUGCCGUGGGCGCUGGAGAACUGAGGGGGGCUGCUCCUAGUACGAGAGGACCGGAGUGGACGCAUCACUGGUGUUCGGGUUGUCAUGCCAAUGGCACUGCCCGGUAGCUAAAUGCGGAAGAGAUAAGUGCUGAAAGCAUCUAAGCACGAAACUUGCCCCGAGAUGAGUUCUCCCUGACUCCUUGAGAGUCCUGAAGGAACGUUGAAGACGACGACGUUGAUAGGCCGGGUGUGUAAGCGCAGCGAUGCGU